ACGCUGCAGGGCAGGAGGGAGCAGGGGCUGCAGGUGGGGAGUGAGGGGCAUCGCCAUGUUCCAGGGGGGCAGGUACUGCGGGUGGGGAGUGAGGGGCACUGGCAGGGGGAGCUGUCAGGAGUGAGGAGCAGCAGCAGGACUGGGAGACCCGUGUCUUGGGAAUGAGGGGCAAGUGAACCAGCAGGAGCAGGGCACUGGCAUAACACUGCCUCCCACAAUUAUAUACCAUCCCCCACCAACAACAGAUGUCCUCUUGUUUGCAACUGUAAAUACAGUAACCCCACUCACAAAUCCAGCUUGGGCUGAGCAGGGCCCUGGCCGGGCUUGUUCAGGACAGGAGCAAAGGGGCAGGAACACGUGGUCUGGGGGGACCCAAACAGGAUUUCCACCCCCAUCCCAGCCCAAAGCCUGCUCUUUCCGCAGGCCUCCAGGGCUGGCUGUAGGCGGCCCCGCAUGCAGAGCCCGGGGCACCGCUCGGCCCGGCCCCAGACGCGGGCGGACGCCUGCGGUGGCCGGAAAAGAAUUUCCCCCAAGCCCAGCUCCGCGUUGGGGGCUGCACCGGCACGUGACACCGCUUCACACGUGUGUUGGCACCGACACUCGGGCCGCUCCGCUCGCGGCCCCUGCCGCGCCAAACGACCAGCGACGGGGGUCAAGGCACCAGGUGCAGUCUCGGGGGGCGAAGAGAGGGGCUUCUCCUCCCUCGGGGAGGGGCCCCUCCCACAAGAUGGUGGCGCACCCACCGCACCAGGGCGGCGCUCUAGCCCGCCCCUCCGGGCACUCUAUGACUCUCGGCGCGGGCGACGCGCGGGGUCAGGGGUCCCGCCCCGCCCCCCACGCGGAAGCAUUAUGGCGGCUCCGAGCUGGCUCCGCGCCGCCGCGCGCAUACGGGGGUGGCCGUUAGUGGGGGCAGCCCGGCGGAGCAGCAGCAGCCCGGAGGACGCGCUGGGCGGCGCCGACCCCGCACAGACGCCCGAGAAGAAGCCAAGCGGCCUCGCUAGCGCUUUAACCGCCUUAUCGGGCCAGAACUGCUUUUGAUAUCUAGACAACAUGCCUACAAACAGCAUCUGACUCCAAAUAGACCUGUUAGGACAGAAGCUAUCAUCAACACCCCCCCCCCCCCCCCAAUGGAGAAGUUUGAUGAAAAAAGGGUCAUUUGGAAGAAUAUAUUGCAUAUGAUGCUAAACAUAAAAAUAAAGCUCUCAUAUAGUUUGAAGAAUGCAAUAAAAAAGAAAAUAACUUGUUUCCCUAGUUGUUAAAUAUUUCUUUUUAAAAUACUUUAUAUUUAAAUCAAUAAAAUGUAAAAAUAAUCAUUGUUCUUCACCAGUAUAAUAAAAUGUCAUUAUAAAAUAGUCACUUCUGUAUCUUAUGCUGUUGCAGAACUUUUCCUUAGAAUGUAAAAGUAUUCUUUAGAAUGUUUUAAUGCUAUUGUAAUACACAUUUAUAUGCUUUUGACAUUAAUUUUGAGAUAUUAGUAUUGAGAGGUUAGUCAACAUUAUACUGAGUACUAAAAUAUGUAUCUCCACAGAGAAAAGCAACAAUAAAAUAUAUGCCAAAUCUAACAGAUUUCUUAAAUUGCAUAUAAGCACAGAUUUGUUUCUGUUAAGAAAAUGGAAAUUCAGCAGCAAAAUAUUUUAAUGUGAAUUAGGAUUCCUCCGGACUAAACUAUGAGAAAACCAUAUAAACUUCAACUAGAAGUCACAAAUAUGACACAAUGAGCCAUGUUUCAUCUUUAUAGAACCUUACUCCCAUGUGUAAAUUCAGUCAAAAUAUGAUUUGAGAACACUGAUAUUUAAUAGUAAACUUUUAUCCAACUUGUACAUAUUAAAUUUAAAAAGUAAUCUCAAGGCUUCUUCUCAAAAGCUUUUAUUGCACUCUGCCAAGUAUCUGUACUAUGAAGAAAUAGUUAUAUUUUUAACUUUUUAUAGCUGUACUUGGUUUCUUUCAGUUGUUCAUGUCUUCCCCCCUGCUCCCCGUCCCUGUUCACAGUGGUCCUUGCCAGUCUCCCUUCUGAUAUGUUUAGGGGAAAAUGGCAGUCGAAACAUUGUGUGUAAUCACAGUAGCUAAGAGUGUGUAUCCCAAAGUUGCUUAUUAUUAGGAAUGCAUUACUAUUUUGGUUGGAAUUAAGGAUGCACUUGUCUCUUUUUGUAAAGAUAAAAAUAUGAGUCAUGUAAUCUUCUAAUUCUGUUUGAAGCUUAAUAUUUAACUUUGCAUUUCCUAUUUUUAAUGGUUUGACAAAGUACACCAGAAAUAGAGGGUUCUUGUUUGUUUUUUGUUUUUACAUAAAAGUCUAAGAUAAAUGACUUUCCCUGUAGUAUGUAUUUUUUAAAUAUUUUAUCAGUGCUCAUAUGCUGAAUACUUUCUUUUCAACCAGUGGCACAGGAGGAGGAUUGCAGAAUGGAGCCCCUCUCCAAGAGGGGACACACAUAACUAUUAAAACGUUUCAGUGGGCAAGCUGUACAGGCACAGAUGCCUUUUGAAACAUUCCAGAAAUGGCUGAAACACUCCAAAAUAGUCUUGAAGUGAAGUACUAUUUCCGAGUGUUUCACUGUUGGGCAUGUGUUCAUGGGGAUAUGAUGCUCGGGAUGGAGCUUUACUCAGGCUUGCCUUUCCACCAGACCUCCUGAGGUCCCAAACCAACAUUAGAGGCAGCCCGAUCAGCCACAGUCCCCUUUGCCUUUUCCCCCUUCCAAGGGCGAAAGGAGAGGUUCAGGGGAU